rnacentral:snoRNA from 12 species
UGGCACUUGAUACUCACCGAGCUGUCUAAAUCCUGGUCUUGUCAGAGGCUUGUGAUACGCCGUGACAGCUGGGUUAAAGAAGUGCAAUAUAAACACGAAAGCCCUGAGUCUUCGAAGCCCAGUGUGUGGAGACACGCUCUGAGUUAUAGCUCAGAGGCACAGCU